AAAGGAACCGCAUACCGCAUGGCCAGGAUAUCUGCAAUAGCUGCAAACCACUAUGAGUUCUUUGGAAAGAGACACAAGAAGGUUCGAGGCCACACUAGGCCCAAAGCCAAUGCUGACGGAGACAAUGACAAGCACUCACUGCCUCUGAAGGAAACUCCACGUUAAGCCACGCCCCCACACCUGGGAUUCCAGGGCCUGCUCUUCUCUGCUGGACUCCCAGACUGCAACCCAGACUGCACUGUUAGAAACCAGAGAACUGCAUGAUCAUGAGGAUGAGUGGGUGCCUGUGGGUCUUCAAGACAUGGCAUCCACCUGCCGUGGACCAGUCCAGUCUGCAGGCGUGGACUCUGACAGCUGGCUCCACCCAGUAUUCAGGUCUCAACCUGCACCCUCACUGCCCAGAACGCAGCCCUUUUUUUCUGGGACCUGCCACACUGCCAGAUCUUGUCAUUCCCCUUCCCCAGAGAUGACUACACUGUCCUCCCAGUCCACUGGCUGGGGACCUGUGCUAUGUGGCUGCCUCUCCUGCAUCACAACCAUCUGCCUCCAUCUGGAGCAUCUGACCAGGAUGUACAGCCCACACACCGUUAAGCCUCACACUAAGCUCACUCAAAUUACGAUGUGCAUGGUAAAACCUACCCAAGGUACUUCUGAUUGUCAAGAAAUAAGAAAUAAAAUAAGACGGGCCACAGAAAAGUGGUUAUAAAUUGGUGGCUCCUAAACCGAAAUCGCCUUGAGGCACAGCCUCCUCUGUGGAGCCUUCUUCAAGCUCCCUGGGCUGCUGAGUCAGCCCCUCUCAGAGGGUUCAUGAUAGCACUUUGGAUUCUGUUUGUUUGCAUGUAGCUUUGCCUAGACUGUGACCUGCAUGAGGCAGAACUGGCUCGUCACCUUUACCUCCCCAGGACACAGGUCAAGAGACGAUCGGUAACUGCAUGGUGAAUGAAUGAACUCUCACCUGUCUGGAAAGUGGGCUCUGGCAGGCCUCACACAUACAGAGGAGAGGCAACAAAGCAGCUGCUGAACCGCAAGCUGAGCCCACAAGCUCUCUGUUGCCUUAGGCAAUAAGAUGAGAAAUUACGGAAGCCAAUUAUCUAUUUGUUGUCAUGGCAAUUGCUAGGAGCAGGGUGGGAGGCACAUGACACCAGAAAACAAAAAAUACAACAGACAGUGUAGAUGGGGCUACAGUUGCACAUCAGAGUAUCUGAUUUUGUGUGUAGAGAAUGGGGAAGGACCUACAUCCCUACAUUGAUCUUUUGGGUCACAGCUCGUUCCAAGAAUAUAUAGCAGCAG
rnacentral:lncRNA from 1 species